rnacentral:misc_RNA from 1 species
GGUAUGGCUUGGAGCAAAUUUUUAAAAAGUCAUUAGUAGAUUAGUGUUUGAUUUGAUUUAUAAGUUAAAAAAUAACAUAAAAUCAAUCAUGAGGAAGGUAUUUUUAUGAUAGCUUGAGUACAUGAUCUUUCAGUUGGAAUUCCAGCACCGUAUGACAAGUGUACCUCCAUAUCCAGUGCGUCAGGUAACAUGAAACAGAAAUACAAUUCUUGUACCAUUAAUAAACAGAAUGGCUCAUGUUUUUUGCCCCCUAAUCCACCAAAUCAAUUCAACCAAAUCAAUUGUAAUUGCACUGUUCUUUAUUGUAUAGUUAUGUAAUUGUCCGGACCACUGCCAAAUCUUUGAAGAAUAGUCAGAACGUUAUGCGAUUGAUGUAAAUAUUGGUAGAUUGUUGGAUUACUGUUGUGAACAUAUAAAGUAAGCACUCUCUUUCCUGCAGUUAUUACUCAUAGCUAAGCAAUAAGCAUCACAAGUCUUCUAACAGCAAUGUAUUUUCUGCUCAGAAACCAUAGUCCAUCAGUAUAGUGGGGAAAGAAGUGUAACAAGAGCCUAGGGGUCACAAGUUAGGAAUGUUGCUGCCUACACCGAUGAGCUGAGCGAAAUAGAGAAUCCUUUCUGGAAAGGCAUUAAUUGCACCUUCAAGCUCUGAUACAAAAGAAAAUGUCCAUAACAGGGUAAACUAACACAAGGACUUGAAGGAUCUUGCAGGUCGACUUCUAAAUUAGCACUUGUUAGGUUGGGAACAACUAUGCACCAUUUUCAAUCAUUAGUUUUGUACUUUCUUGUGACUGGGAAGAAAAGAAACAGAGAACUUCUAAAUGCCUAAACAUUCAAAAAAGAAGU